rnacentral:lncRNA from 1 species
UGUUCAAUUUAGCAAAACCUUGGCCAGGGUAAUCCUUGUGAGGAGUCACAAGAUUUGUAAAGUUGAAAUACAUAUUGGAUGAACUAAUUAAAGAGUUGACAGUGAACUCUGAAGUCAUCCUACGCAUUUGGAGUCAUAGAGAUGAAUUAUACGGUAACCAUAGUCCAAGAGUUCCAGAAUAUUAUUUUGCAAUCAUUCGAGUCGGGUACCAUUGCUAGAUGGUCACUUCGAUUAGUAUAGAAAGUCGUUUUUAUGCUAUCAGUUUAGGUUCGAACUUAUGGGGUCACAUGCAUAGAAGUUUUUAGGUUGAUCAAAUGGCUGAUUGAUGAUUAAGAAUCAUUCAGAAGUAAUUUGAUCAAUUCAAUUGACAAAUUACUCUAAGCAAAAGUUGCAAUAAAAUAUUGUUGCCCAGAGGUGCAGCCCAAGAGGGGAGGUGAAUUAGAUCUUUUAAAAUUAAUAAAGUGAAGUGAAUGAGUUACUGAAAUCUUCUAGUAACUUGGAGAUUUAGCAGCAGAAUUAAUGUAGCACAAAUAAACCAGUAAAUAAGAUAAGGAAUGUAGUUAGAAAUAUGCAGUGGAAGAAGAGAAGCAAGUCACACACAAACAUAAGGAUAUAUAGUGGUUCGGUGCACUUCUAGCACCUACAUCCACUCUCCAAGCCUCACUUGAGAUUUCACUAUAAUCCAGCAGAUUACAACCUGAUUAUUU